AUACGUAGGGAGCGAGCGUUGUCCGGAAUUACUGGGCGUAAAGAGCUCGUAGGUGGUUUGUCGCGUCGACUGUGAAAUUCCGGGGCUUAACUCCGGGCGUGCAGGCGAUACGGGCAUAACUUGAGUACUGUAGGGGAGACUGGAAUUCCUGGUGUAGCGGUGAAAUGCGCAGAUAUCAGGAGGAACACCGGGGGCGAAGGCGGGUCUCUGGGCAGUAACUGACGCUGAGGAGCGAAAGCAUGGGUAGCGAACAGGAUUAGAUCCCCUGGUAGUCCAUGCCGUAAACGGUGGGCGCUAGGUGUAGGGGUCUUCCACGACUUCUGUGCCGUAGCUAACGCAUUAAGCGCCCCGCCUGGGGAGUACGGCCGCAAGGCUAAAACUCAAAGGAAUUGACGGGG
rnacentral:rRNA from 1 species